GGUUUAAUUCGAAGCAACGCGCAGAACCUUACCAGCUUUUGACAUGCCCGGUAUGAUCGUCAGAGAUGACUUUCUUCCCGCAAGGGGCCGGUGCACAGGUGCUGCAUGGCUGUCGUCAGCUCGUGUCGUGAGAUGUUGGGUUAAGUCCCGCAACGAGCGCAACCCUCGCCCUUAGUUGCCAUCAUUCAGUUGGGCACUCUAGGGGGACUGCCGGUGAUAAGCCGCGA
rnacentral:rRNA from 1 species